CACCCCGGUCGAUCGACCGAGGCAGACCUUACAUCCAACCAAGCCGCCACCGUUCUGCGAUUGGAAGAAAGGCCCAUCCCUCGCUGUAAAUUUACAUCAGGGGCGAGGUUGGCUAGGUCUUGGGCGGCGCCCGUGGUUGGUGAUGGCGGUGCAGGCUUAGCGGCGUGGUACUCGGUGGCAGUUGGUGGCCUCGGCGGUGCGGUGAGCUCUCUGGUUCCUCGGUGACGGGCAACACAGCGGGUUAUAUCGACUGCGACCGCUUCGUGCUCUGCCCCGGCCACGACGGCGCCGCUCCAUCUCGCGAACUAUGACGGCAUCACGGUAAGCUCUCCACACUUUGGUUUUUUGCCCGGAUUUAUGCCCCUGUAUUUUUCCUCCUGUCCUCACCCAAUCCAUUGAGGAACUUAAGCAUAAUCGUGGGCAUGUCUUGCCGGUUGUGGCGGCUGCCAUGGUGCGAGGGUGUGGCCCUUCACAGAUUGAACAAUUGAUGGAUACCUGUGCUAGGUUCCUGAAGUUUUACUGGCUUCAAUUUGGGUGCACAAGUUUUGGUAUGGCCUUUGGCAGAUUUGAUAAUGUGCGCCUUCUUCCUAUAUCGACCAAGAUUGAACAAAAAAUCGCAUGGCCGUGGUGAUCUGGUCCACGAGAUAGAUGACUAGAUGUUGGGGGUAAAUAAAGAAGAGCUUCUCUCCAGAUCUGACCAACGCUGUCCUACUAAUCUCCAAUCUUCCAUAAAUAGAUCUACCAAUGCGUUUGUGUCUAAUGACUCCUCAGGUUCAGUGGCUUUUGUAUAAUUACUCCUCAAUUUAGCAUGCCCAUAUGCUGCAUUUUCUAUCUGCCGUUGUCCAUCAAAUAUUAGUUGUUAGAUUAAGAAAUAAGAGCUACUUAGUGUAAUCAUUAUGGAUCUAUGUAGGUUUGAGGUCUCUGGGUCUUGAAUUAGGCAAUAAAACGUGGGUUGUAAGAUAAUUGGGUUCAUAAAUUGGUCUUCGGAUUUAUAAUUUUGUUUUUUGAAUUGGAACCUCAUGAUUCCAUGACUUAAACUGGCUCAGCAACAUCGCUGGCCAAGAGUACAGAUACAUCGUUCGGCAGGUCGUCCAACUACAGCCGGUGGGGCACCUGACCACCACUACCCAUUGCAGCAAGGGCGUUGGCUACCUUAUUACAAUCACGAGGAGUACAAGAAAACAUCACAUUGGUGAAGUUCAAUCGAAUAAACAUCACAUUGGGAUAUAUAUUAGCUUCAAGAGUAACAGUUGAGCUCAAAGAAGACGAAGCAAACAUUAUAACUAGUACUGAGAUGAGAAGUAUCUCAGGUCUGUAGUUGCAGAAUCAGGAUGGAUAUUAUAAUGGAUUUUCCCAUUUGAAUUGGGUUUCAAAGAUGAGUUGUCGCGAUAUGUAUUUUCUAUCUUCUUUUAUUUCAGUUCAUAAAACAUAUAGGGUAAUUAGUAUUACUUCUAUAUUUCUGUCCACUUAAACUCUUACUGAUUUAUUCCAGUUUCUGUUUUUACAAAUAAUGGUUUAACCAUUGUUGUUUGUGUUUGUGUUGUAGCCUGCUGUGGCUUAAGAUGAGCUCAAGCCUGAAUCCUUUAGUUUAGAUCGUAUUACUUUUCUCAGAUUCCGUGGUCCAGUUUUGGUUUGCGUUGCACCAAACCUAGCACUUGCAGUUGCUUGUUUCAGAAAUCCAAGUUAUAUGUCAGAUUUCGGCCGUCGAGGUAAAUCCUUCCAGCUGAUGCAUAUUAUCAUUAUGUGCUUAAUUACUACAUGUGCAGUCGUCUCAUAAUUAUUGCGACCGUAAUUUUUAUGGAGUUUUCCUCCAUUCAGCCUUUUUAAUUUCCUUCAGAAAUACAUUCAGCUUGUUUGGGAGGGUACACUUAUAAGGAUUUGUAUAUAAAAGGUUAAUGUUCUAAAGACGCUCUUGCUGCAAUACAACGUUGGCAUGUAAUGUGCUUAGCUAUAUUACUAACCAAUGACUAGUUAUGCAUCUUUUCAUGUGAAAAAAAGAGAAAAACAUGGCUUACUUUCUGCAUGCGUGUGGCCAAGGCAUAAUUUCUGAUCCAUCAUAGAAUGGAUAUUUUUUCUUCUAAUCAUGUGAGGCGCCUUUGUUGCUACCAAAAUAGAAUACAUAUAUCAACCAUUUACUACUAAAACAAUAAUCAUAUUUAUCGACUUUCUACUUUGUACUGAAGCUUACCAAUUUAACAUCUGUUUUGGUACAUUCUUGAAACAAACGUAAUUUUAUGUUUCUUGCCCAGCCAUUGUUUCUAUACGGAUCCAUAUCAACAUUUUUUAAUUCAGAUUCAUAUAAACUGUAAGGCAUUGCUUUUGGUCUUCUUUAACAUGUUUUCUUGUCUUUCAGAGGAAUCCACUCAAAUAUGACUUAUUUGUUUCCUUUCACCUUUUACUACUCUACACUGCCAGAUUUAUUUAUUUUCCAUUUUUUACUUAUUUAUCUACAGAUUAUCUGCAUGAUUUUCCAUCAGUUGCAUAACCAGUCUUCUGUUGAGUAUUUUGAUUUUGUCAUUGGGUAGCUGCAAGCGAGUCGUUACUGCUGAAACUCUACCUAGAAUCUAUAUUGUUUUGGCAGGCAAUGGUACCCAGGUAGAUGGACUAGCUGCUUGCUCCGUGCCCGUUCUGGCCUCAGGAGCAAGCUGGAGAGGGACGAGUUAAUGAGCACCAUCCGAGCGGCCUUAGAGAGCCAACAGCCCUGCCAAGGCUCAAUGCGGUGCUGAAGCUUCCCCAUCGUGGGGCGCAGCUCGGCCACCAUGAGGCUCGUGUCACUAAUGGUGAUCCCCAAAUACGUCGUGGGGAAGCAGCCAAGCUGGCAGUUGAGGCGGUCCGCGAUGCUCUGGCGUUCGUCUUGGGAUAUCCCAAGACCAUGACCGCACUCUUAUCAAAGUUGAUCCUGAGGCCAGACAUCUGUUGGAAGCAGAGCAGGAGGAACUUUAGGUUCAUGAUGUCGGCCGCGGAGCCUUCCACCAUUAUAAUGGUGUCAUCCGCGUAUUGGAGAAGGGAGAUCCCAUUCCCGCCUACUAGAUGCGGGACAAUGCCCCUAAUAUGUCCCGCAGCCUUGGCCUUAUCAAGGAUGGCUGCCAGAGCAUCAACAACCACGAUGAAGAGGAACGGAGAUGUAACGCCCCGAGAAUCAUGCUACAGUAAUCCCCUUCUAAUGAUGCACUGUCAUCAUUGUCACUGUUGCUAAUCUCACUUUCAUUCUAUCCCAGUCCAAAUCUCAAUUUCAAAUUAAAUUCAAAAAUUCUUAUUUGUCAAACCUGAAAACUAAAAUGUUCAAAGUGUGGCAAAUAAUCUCUAGAUAUUUGUCAUGUGGAAGCCAACAUUUUUGGAAUUCCCAAAUUGCCCCUGGAUUAUCUUUUGGUGGUCCAGCAACUUUUAUCUUUCCUUAUUUAAUUUCUAAAAAUACCUAGUCACUUCCAAAUACCUUGAAACAUUUUUUUGGCAGUUUCAUAAUUCGCAAAGUAUUUAUGUGGCCUAGUCCCACAUUUUACAAAAUCCUUUUUGGCAGCCCAAAUAUUACCAUGUUCUUUUUUUU